GACGAACGCUGGCGGCGUGCUUAACACAUGCAAGUCGAAAGAAGUGGCGAACGGGUGAGUAACGCGUAAUAAACCUGCCCUUCAGAGGGGGAUAACAGUUGGAAACGACUGCUACUACCGCAUACUGAGGGAGGAGAAUGCGUCUGCGUAGCUAGUUGGAGGGGCAACGGCCAACCAAGGCGAUGAUGAGGAGCCGGUCUGGGAGGAUGAACGGCCACAUUGGGACUGAGACACGGCCCAGACUCCUACGGGAGGCAGCAGUGGGGAAUCUUCCGCAAUGGACGAAAGUCUGACGGAGCAACGCCGCGUGAGUGAUGACGGCCUUCGGGUUGUAAAGCUCUGUUAAUCGGGACGCGGUACCGGAAUAGAAAGCCACGGCUAACUACGUGCCAGCAGCCGCGGUAAUAC
rnacentral:rRNA from 1 species